rnacentral:lncRNA from 1 species
CCUGAAUAUAAGGCAUUGUAAUUUACACACUUUAUAAACUUUUCUGUUUAAAUAUUGUCAUUGAUUUUUGAUCAGAGGAAAUGUUCAGUUUGGGUUUCUGUAGCUCACUUCUUUUAGAAGAAAUAGGCUAUUGAAUCCCAUCUCUCUGAAAUUUUGCUUUUUCACCAAGGAAGGCAAAAAGAUGCUGCCCUGACAUAGCAGGGUGCAAAGCUCCCUUUUUUGUUUCAGGACCCUUUAAGCUGUUGCCAUCUCUUUUUUUUUUUUUUUUUUUUUUUUUUCUUUUCUGCACAGCCAUUCUUUGGGUGCUGCUUCUGUCUGGCUGGAGACCCUGCUUGCAGUUACCUGCUUCUGUGAAGGAGCUUAGCCUGGCUCUCAAAAUGAAGACUUUCAGGUGUUUUCUGCCUAGACAUCCUAAGGGAGAGCUAUGAGAGGUGUUCAGGAACAAGCCUCUCAAUGCCUUCAUGUUAUAUUUUGGAACAGCUGGUUGCCCGCUGCCGUGUUGCAGGACAUACAGACACACUGAGCAAAUGAGCUGGCUCAGAAUUGAUGCAAGUUUCGGAGUUGCUCUUCCAGGAAAGCUUGAGUACAGGUUUUUCUCCUUUUUGUUCAGAGAAAAAUUGUGUUUUCAACUUGAAAACCAAAGCUCUUGGUCACUUCUCAAAAUGCUGUGAUUAAUGUUUAGGUUGUUACAUCAACCUUUUACUGGAACUUUCUCUCCUCUUGGGCUCACAUUAGAAAAUUUCGUGCUUACCAGCUGUAUGGUGGCAUUAUAACACCAUCUGGUAUAUGUUUCUUUGUACCAUGUAAAAUUCAUUAUUGGCUUUUUAGAUCUUGGAAGGAC